rnacentral:rRNA from 2 species
AGACCCGAAACCCGGUGAUCUAGCCAUGGGCAGGUUGAAGGUUGGGUAACACUAACUGGAGGACCGAACCGACUAAUGUUGAAAAAUUAGCGGAUGACCUGUGGCUGGGGGUGAAAGGCCAAUCAAACCGGGAGAUAGCUGGUUCUCCCCGAAAGCUAUUUAGGUAGCGCCUCGUGAAUUCAUCUCCGGGGGUAGAGCACUGUUUCGGCUAGGGGGCCAUCCCGGCUUACCAACCCGAUGCAAACUGCGAAUACCGGAGAAUGUUAUCACGGGAGACACACGGCGGGUGCUAACGUCCGUCGUGAAGAGGGAAACAACCCAGACCGCCAGCUAAGGUCCCAAAGUCAUGGUUAAGUGGGAAACGAUGUGGGAAGGCCCAGACAGCCAGGAUGUUGGCUUAGAAGCAGCCAUCAUUUAAAGAAAGCGUAAUAGCUCACUGGUCGAGUCGGCCUGCGCGGAAGAUGUAACGGGGCUAAACCAUGCACCGAAGCUGCGGCAGCGACACUCAGGUGUUGUUGGGUAGGGGAGCGUUCUGUAAGCCUGCGAAGGUGGCCUGUGAGGGUUGCUGGAGGUAUCAGAAGUGCGAAUGCUGACAUAAGUAACGAUAAAGCGGGUGAAAAGCCCGCUCGCCGGAAGACCAAGGGUUCCUGUCCAACGUUAAUCGGGGCAGGGUGAGUCGACCCCUAAGGCGAGGCCGAAAGGCGUAGUCGAUGGGAAACGGGUUAAUAUUCCCGUACUUGGUGUUACUGCGAAGGGGGGACGGAGAAGGCUAUGUUGGCCGGGCGACGGUUGUCCCGGUUUAAGCGUGUAGGUGUGUGUUCCAGGUAAAUCCGGUUCACUUUAACACUGAGGCGUGACGACGAGGCACUACGGUGCUGAAGCAACAAAUGCCCUGCUUCCAGGAAAAGCCUCUAAGCAUCAGGUAACAUCAAAUCGUACCCCAAACCGACACAGGUGGUCAGGUAGAGAAUACCAAGGCGCUUGAGAGAACUCGGGUGAAGGAACUAGGCAAAAUGGUGCCGUAACUUCGGGAGAAGGCACGCUGACACGUAGGUGAAGUGAUUUACUCACGGAGCUGAAGUCAGUCGAAGAUACCAGCUGGCUGCAACUGUUUAUUAAAAACACAGCACUGUGCAAACACGAAAGUGGACGUAUACGGUGUGACGCCUGCCCGGUGCCGGAAGGUUAAUUGAUGGGGUCAGCGCAAGCGAAGCUCCUGAUCGAAGCCCCGGUAAACGGCGGCCGUAACUAUAACGGUCCUAAGGUAGCGAAAUUCCUUGUCGGGUAAGUUCCGACCUGCACGAAUGGCGUAAUGAUGGCCAGGCUGUCUCCACCCGAGACUCAGUGAAAUUGAACUCGCUGUGAAGAUGCAGUGUACCCGCGGCAAGACGGAAAGACCCCGUGAACCUUUACUAUAGCUUGACACUGAACAUUGAGCCUUGAUGUGUAGGAUAGGUGGGAGGCUUUGAAGUGUGGACGCCAGUCUGCAUGGAGCCGACCUUGAAAUACCACCCUUUAAUGUUUGAUGUUCUAACGUGGACCCGU